CAAACAACUUUUGCCGACUGAAAACACAUCUUCGCCACCUUCCAAGGAUUCAGUUCACUCCGUGCAGCAAACUCCGUUUGGCCGUGCGUGCAAGCGUGCGUCCGUGCAUCAAUAAACACUUCAAUGGCUUUCCAAGAGAAUUUUAAACACGAUGACGAGGAGAUGUUGGCAGAUCAAAGUUUUAAAACUGCCAAAAGCGACGAUGAACACAAUGAAAUCCUCACGGAGAGAGAACCGGACGAAGAUGAAGACGAAGGUCAAGAAAAAAACGAUUCAAGUUUAAGACAGCAAAGCUCUACCAGUGAAAACCGAAGACAAUCGUCUAUGUCCAAACCACCCUACUCUUACAUCGCUCUGAUCACAAUGGCUAUUCUGCAAUCACCGCAAAGAAAACUCACCCUAAGUGAAAUCUGCGACUUCAUCAAGCGCCGUUUUCCGUAUUACCGCGAAAAGUUCCCCUCGUGGCAAAAUUCCAUAAGGCAUAACCUCUCUCUGAACGAUUGUUUCAUGAAAAUGCCGCGCGAACCGGGAAAUCCUGGCAAAGGAAACUACUGGACAUUGGAUCCUGCCAGCGAGGGAAUGUUCGAUAACGGCAGUUUUCUGAGGAGGAGGAAAAGAUUUAAGAGACCGCGGCCACCUGAGGGAGCCGUCAGCGCCUUUGGGUUUCAGUACUACUGGAAUUGCAUGGACUCUUCAAGCUGGCGACCGCCUCUGUACUCACAUUUCUCAGUUCCAAGGUACCUGACAUGUUUACCGCCAGCUCUCGGCAGAUCAACAGACCCGCCUGUGUCAAGAGAAAGGCAAAGACCUGCAAAAUUCUCCAUCGCGAGUAUCAUCGGCUCGGAGACGGAAGAACACCGACCGCCGAAUAGCAAAGUAAGCCCUUCCUUGUCGUGUUGUUCUAACGUGCGUUCGAGUUACAGCAACACUGUUAGACCUUGCAUUGUAUCACCAAGUUCCUACUGUACAUACUGCAGCCAAAUGGCUGGGAAACGGUAGAACAAUUCUCUGAUUGAGUGAACUAUGCGGCACUGUAGUGUUUCUGGAUAAUUUCAGUUACUCUCCAAAGAUGUGAUGGUUUACUUGUUAAGCUGGAGUGUUUACCUUUUAAAGAUGUUUUUGAAUGGGCGCUGUUCGUUUUGGUAAGAAAAACAGCAUUGUGGUAUGAAGUAGAUCAAAGGAUUGAAAAAUUAUCACUCGUUGAGUGAUAGAAGUGUGUUGUCGCGCGCAAAAAGUAUUUCUUGUGCCAAGUUAGAUCAUCAGUACUAUUAUUCUUUCCUCCUCCUUCAGUCUAAUAAUAACUUUAAGAUCACCGAAAGCUCAGCAGUUAAUCUCAGAAAAAAAUUAUUUUGGCACAAUUUUCCUGGAGUUGAAACCCAUCAACUACAGAAACCUUUCAAAUUUGGUUUAUUUCAAAACAACAAAAACUGUACUGAUUUUGUCACACUCCUCCACUGCUAAAUGGCCCAAUAUCAUUUCGCUUUGUGUCAAAAGCUUUACAAUCAGAUGUCACGAAGUACAUUGUACCCUGACUAACAAAUCAAUGAACACGGAGAAUCUUAAAGCAAUUAUAAGCUUGGAGUCGAAGCACUUACAGACGCCUUGUACUCAAUUGUUUAGAGACCAAAACUUGCGCGAAAGGUUAAGAACUUUUGUAGUCGCCGCCGGUAAAUGAUUUAUUACAUGAAAUGCUCUCACAUGGAAUAAAAAAACUACACGAAACAAAAUUUCUGGAUCAUUCUCAGUAUGAGAAAAACAGUUUGGAUUUGAUUUAUAUGCGCAUCUAUCUCGAAUAUUCGAUCGUAUCAUCAUGGUAUUCCGGAAAAGUUAUGUUCCUCUCGGAUAAAUAAAACAACCCUGCCGAAUAUCUACCCACGAACUGAGAGAGUUUGGUUCAACUGAGAAUAUUUAUAUAGCUUAUCGUCUUUCAUUCAUAGCAAUAAAUUUUUGGCGAAGACCCUUUUCAACAGGCAGCCCACAGUUUUCGACGGAAACAAACUAAGACAGUUCACGACGUGGUCAGACCUGUUAAAAUAAAUCUUACAUAUGUGUAACCGUAGAAGUGUCAUGUACAACGUUCUGUUUUAUCUGAGAUAAAAAAUAUCAAUUCUCAUUACUUAAUGCGUCAAUUUUUCUUUAAGUCAUUACUGAGAAUUUUUGUGGAUCACAAUGCAAAUCUUGGAACACUGCCUGAUCGAUUAGCAAUAAAUUCACAACGAAAGAGCAAUAUCAGUUUAAUUGGCGAUUGUUACAGUUUUGUUUGCCUCACGUGCACGUGUUCCCACUAAAUUCUUGAAAUUAUUUGCAAUAGAAUGGGUAUAUCGGCUUUCAUGAAUAUAUGGCCGGGUCUAAGAAAAUCAAGAGAGGAAAGCAUGUAACAACAGACUAAGAUAACAUUACGCUGAAGUGGAGUUGCAUUUUGUUGUAGCUUAAACUAUAUAAUAACAUCAAAUGAGAGGUGUCCUUUCUGCCACACAUGUGGGACUUCAAAAUGGCUAAAACCGCCUGCCUACCUUUAUGGUGGAGAACUGAAGAUCCUAGUAAAAUAUUCGUCUUAGUGAGAGAAAGACAGCGAGUCCUGGCUUUGUUCAAGCUACACUAAAUUUGCGAAAUGUCUCUCAACAAAUUGUCUGUAUGACUUUAACAACUUCAAAUGAUAAUACUUAAUUGUGCGAGCAAAUGUCUCCUCGUAGGUCAGAAACAGGUCAACGAGUGUAUGCAUAGGGUACACUUGAUUGCAAUAGAAUAUGAACUUCAUCCUAAGCGCCCUCACUUUUCGUAAAAAUCACCAUAGUUUCUGUACUCCAUUAAUCACAUUUGGAUGUACCCGUGUACACGUCUCUCUCUUGACAAUAAUUGUUAGCGAGUUUUGAGUUACAUAUCAUCGUUUAUUAUUUAAGCAAAGUUAAAUAAAAUGUACUAUUUUCAUUUUGCUACUGAUUUAAAAAGGCAGAUUAUAAUUAUUGAUCCACCCUUGAGCAAAGUAUAACACUUAAUCUGUUUAAGGAAGUAUUCUCUAAUACGUAGAAAUUCUGAGGGGGGAAAUAUAUCCUUGAAAGUGUUACUAGCUCAAAAUUGAAGUUUGUAUACAGUUGUUUAUCGGAAAUAUCUCUAGAUCCGAAAAUUAUUUUCCAUUGAGGUUUAAUUCGCGCUUUAGAGGUCUCUUAACAGAUAUAAUGAUAAAAAUUUCCUCUUAUUUUGAUCGGUAAUUCACGUUUCUUCAAAGGCAUACAUCGCAGCUAAUUGUGCAAUAUUUAUUUGCAGUUACUUUUCAUAAACAGUGGUCGAGAACGUUCCUCUGAGUUUCCGAUCCUUUUUUUUUUGCCUCUUAUCUCGUUAUCCACGACAACUCAGUUGUAUUUGAUUAGUAAGUCGCCGGUCAAACUUAGUCCCAAACGCACCCUGAUGUGUGGAGUUGAGUUAAGAUAAAUACAAAUUUCCAUUUGUUUAGAAAACUCAAAUAAAAUUGUUUUCAAAAGAACAGAAGUGUUGUGCAAUUAGUUUCCCACGACAAAGAUAAGUCAACUGUACUUCUAAAUAAAAGCUAAUAAAAUAACUCGGAAUAUUUUGUCCUUCACGGAUUUGCUGCUACAUGCGUGAGCAGUUUUAAUCAUCAGUUUAACAUUACAUCUGUAGUCUGAACGUUUGGACGCGAAAAACUCUAGCAAAGAACUCCAGAAAGGACUGAAAAAUAGCUGAUGAAAAACGUUACAGUUCUAAGAAGCACAAUCAGCAACAGAUGAAAUAUUGAUAACGCUUCGAACCUUAAAACGAUUAGAACAAAGAACCCUUCGAGACCAAAGCAUCUGUUUAUCUUACACUAUACUUUUGUAUAUCUAAAGAAGUGAGCUGUUUGCAUAAGUAAU